CUAAAUUGUGACACUAAAAGUGUUUUAGUUAUUUACUUAACACUAAAAGUGACAAUGAAAAGACACCAGAGCCAAUCCUACAGUGAGGAAGUCAGUGCCAGUGCAGUCUGAACAGGUGGGGCCUAACCAAUAAUUCACAAGGUCGAUCAUUCUUCCAUUCCUUUCAAGGCACAUUCCAGAACCUGCUAUGUACAAGUUAUUAUAUUGGGACCUUAGAAAGAUUAAAAAAUAAGUAGUAAAUAAAAUAUUGUUCUCAUUUUCAAGAAGCUCAUAAUCUAAUUGGAACACUACACAUGUCAGCCCAUACAUAUUUUUAAAAGUGAAAUAAAAACACAAGAAACAAAC
rnacentral:sRNA from 1 species